rnacentral:rRNA from 1 species
CACGUAGGGCGCAAGCGUUGUCCGGAAUUAUUGGGCGUAAAGAGCUCGUAGGCGGUCUGUUGCGUCCGCUGUGAAAACUCGGGGCUUAACCCCGACGCUGCAGUGGAUACGGGCAGACUAGAGGUAGGUAGGGGAGAAUGGAAUUCCGUGGUGAGCGGUGAAAUGCGCAGAUAUCAGGAGGAACACCAGUGGCGAAGGCAGGCUCGCUGGGACGUGACUGACGCUGAGACGACGAAGCGUGGGGAGCGAACAGG